rnacentral:rRNA from 1 species
UUACGGGAGGCAGCAGUGAGGAAUAUUGGUCAAUGGGCGCAAGCCUGAACCAGCCAUGCCGCGUGCAGGAUGAAGCAUCUAUGGUGUGUAAACUGCUUUUGUACGGGAAGAAACACCGGUUCGUGAACCGGCUUGACGGUACCGUAAGAAUAAGGAUCGGCUAACUCCGUGCCAGCAGCCGCGGUAAUACGGAGGAUCCAAGCGUUAUCCGGAAUCAUUGGGUUUAAAGGGUCCGUAGGCGGGCCUGUAAGUCAGUGGUGAAAUCUCCCCGCUCAACGGGGAAACGGCCAUUGAUACUGCAGGCCUUGAAUUACUAGGAAGUAACUAGAAUAUGUAGUGUAGCGGUGAAAUGCUUAGAUAUUACAUGGAAUACCAAUUGCGAAGGCAGGUUACUACUAGUGGAUUGACGCUGAUGGACGAAAGCGUGGGUAGCGAACAGGAUUAGAUACCCUGGUAGU